GUGCUGGGUAGGGGAGCGUCCUGCAUCCGGUGAAGCAGCAGCGUGAGCUAGUUGUGGAGGGUGUGGGAGUGAGAAUGCAGGCAUGAGUAGCGAUGAGGCAAGUGAGAACCUUGCCCGCCGAAAGACCAAGGGUUCCUGGGCCAGGCCAGUCCGCCCAGGGUGAGUCGGGACCUAAGGCGAGGCCGACAGGCGUAGUCGAUGGACAACGGGUUGAUAUUCCCGUACCCGUGUGUGAGCGUCCCUGAUGAAUCCGUUCUGCUAACCGCCCAAAAGGUGGACCACCAAUCCCUUCGGGGUGCGGGGUUCGCCGGCUGCGCGGGACCCGGACGGGUAGUAGUCAAGCGAUGGGGUGACGCAGGAAGGUAGCCGUACCAGUCAGUGGUAAUACUGGGGCAAACCGGUAGGGAGAGACAUAGGCAAAUCCGUGUCUCACAUAUCCUGAGAGGUGAUGCAUAGCCGAGUGAGGCGAAUUCGGUGAUCCUAUGCUGUCGAGAAAAGCCUCUAGCGAGCGCACACACGGCCCGUACCCCAAACCAACACAGGUGGUCAGGUAGAGAAUACCAAGGCGUACGAGUGAACUAUGGUUAAGGAACUCGGCAAAAUGCCCCCGUAACUUCGGGAGAAGGGGGACCCACAUGGUGUGUAAGCCCUUGCGGCCCAAGCACAAGUGGGUGGCACAAACCAGUGAGAAGCGACUGUUUACUAAAAACACAGGUCCGUGCGAAGUCGCAAGACGAGGUAUACGGACUGACGCCUGCCCGGUGCUGGAAGGUUAAGAGGACCCGUUAACCCUUUCGGGGGUGAAGCGGAGAAUUUAAGCCCCAGUAAACGGCGGUGGUAACUAUAACCAUCCUAAGGUAGCGAAAUUCCUUGUCGGGUAAGUUCCGACCUGCACGAAUGGCGUAACGACUUCUCAGCUGUCUCAACCAUAGACUCGGCGAAAUUGCAUUACGAGUAAAGAUGCUCGUUACGCGCGGCAGGACGAAAAGACCCCGGGACCUUCACUACAACUUGGUAUUGGUGCUCGAUACGGUUUGUGUAGGAUAGGUGGGAGACUGUGAAGCAGCCACGCCAGUGGUUGUGGAGUCGUUGUUGAAAUACCACUCUGGUCGUAUUGGGCCUCUAACCUCGGACCGUGAAACCGGUUCAGGGACAGUGCCUGGUGGGUAGUUUAACUGGGGCGGUUGCCUCCUAAAAUGUAACGGAGGCGCCCAAAGGUUCCCUCAACCUGGACGGCAAUCAGGUGUUGAGUGUAAGUGCACAAGGGAGCUUGACUGCGAGACGGACAUGUCAAGCAGGGACGAAAGUCGGGACUAGUGAUCCGGCACCCCCGAGUGGAAGGGGUGUCGCUCAACGGAUAAAAGGUACCCCGGGGAUAACAGGCUGAUCUUCCCCAAGAGUCCAUAUCGACGGGAUGGUUUGGCACCUCGAUGUCGGCUCGUCGCAUCCUGGGGCUGGAGCAG
rnacentral:rRNA from 1 species